CAAGCACCUGUCCUCCAGAGCUUCCAGUGGAUUCUUCAUCACGAGCAGCCUAGAAGCGAGAGUUUAGAGUCACAUUUUCUUUCCGUGCAGGAUGUGGUAAAAUUUGGAAAUUUUUAAAUGAAAAAAAAAAAGGUUUUCACAUCAUCGCUGUGGACCCCGUAAAUAAUAAUGGUGUCAGGUGUCAUUUAUUGAGCACCUAUUGUGUACCUGGUGUUCCACAAUGAACUGUCAACAAGCUACAACAUGCAGUGCCAGUUCAACAAGGACAUAUAAAACUACACCCAACCACAGGAAAUAUCACUCACCCUUAGAUGGACACUGCUAUAAGGACUCUGAGGCUUGAGACUAGCAAGAGGGGGAGGCCUAAUGCCCCUCAACACCCCAGCUCAGCAGGAAGUAGCCAGAGAGACCUCAACGACCCUACUCCCAAAGAACUGGGCCUCCCAUCUCUUAAGGGGGGAAUGUUAGGUAGUUAGAAUAGGAAAAAGGAGUCCAAAAUGGCGGUACCUAAAAGACAAAGAAAGGGAAAGCCCAGGAAAACAGAACAAAAGAAAACCCACAGACCAGAGUGAGAAUUUCGGGUGAAACAAACACACCCCCUUCUUGGCUAGCCCAAUUUGCAUAGGGCAGGCUCAGUAGGGAGGAGACAAAUGAACGAAAGAAGGAAGCCAAGAUGGAUUGAGGCCCCACCUUUGGGGUUGCCAGCCCUCACGCCUCGAGGGUGUACUAACCUUUGCUUGCCAAAUAAAACUCUGAGCUGUAACCAAACUGUAACACUGGUCCAUCAUUUCAAAUCUUUGCUGUGGCAAGACAGAACUGAGGAAAUUACACACUCCCCAAACAUCUCCAAUGACAAGUUGAUAUUGUGUGGACAGAAUAUCUACUGUAUUGGGGGAAGUUAUGGCUCUGUUUAUCCAAGAAAACACUUGGUCCUUUGAAGGCAUCAGAAUUUGUCUACUCAUGGCUGCAGUCACCAUCUGCAGUGAUUUUGGAUCCCCCAAAAAUAAAGUCUGACACUG